rnacentral:rRNA from 1 species
GACGGGGCCCGCACAAGCGGUGGAGCAUGUGGUUUAAUUCGAUGCAACGCGAAGAACCUUUACCUGGGCUUGACAUCCCAAGAAUCCCCUGGAAACAGGGGAGUGCCCUUCGGGGAGCUUGGAGACAGGUGCUGCAUUGGCUGUCGUCAGCUCGUGUCGUGAGAUGUUGGGUUAAGUCCCGCAACGAGCGCAACCCUUGCCUUUAGUUGCCAUCAUUCAGUUGGGCACUCUAGAGGGACUGCCGGUGUCAAACCGGAGGAAGGUGGGAUGACGUCAAGUCCUCAUGGCCUUUAUGCCCAGGGCUACACACGUGCUACAAUGGGCGGUACAAAGAGCAGCGAGCUCGCGAGAGUAAGCAAAUCUCAAAAAGCCGUCCUCAGUUCGGAUUGGAGUCUGCAACUCGACUCCAUGAAGUUGGAAUCGCUAGUAAUCGCGGAUCAGCAUGCCGCGGUGAAUACGUUCCCGGGCCUU